GUCUAGUACACAAAUAAUUAUGACACUAAACUUACUAUGUAUGAGCUGGAGCCAUAGCUGAUUUCAGUGACAGAUGGAAAACUCCACUGAACCUUUUAUUGGCCAUAUGCCAUUUCUGACUGUUGGCCAACAACAAGAUUUGUUGCUAAUAUAUAAUGAUUUAAACAGUAAAAAGAGCAGCUGCACUUUGAUUUUCGGUGCCUUUACUACAGGUUUUCCUGGAGCUUUUGAAUAUCUGCUGCUGCUUUCUAAUGCAAAGCUGUCACUUCUGGUCUGUGAGAAGAGACUUUAUCUUCCCAGUGCUAUCCGAGCCACUGAUUUUGGCUGCCUUAACUUGGAAAGAUGCCCCCUUGAUGAAUGUGUGAUCUCCUGAUAGCUGGGUGCAGUGCUACCGUG
ensembl:lncRNA